rnacentral:rRNA from 1 species
CCUACGGGUGGCAGCAGUGAGGAAUAUUGGUCAAUGGACGGAAGUCUGAACCAGCCAUGCCGCGUGCAGGAAGACGGCUCUAUGAGUUGUAAACUUCUUUUGUACAAGGGUAAAGCUGACUACGUGUAUUCAGCUGAAAGUACUCUACGAAUAAGGCUCGGCUAACUCCGUGCCAGCAGCCGCGGUAAUACGGAGGAUCCAGGCGUUAGCCGGAUUUAUUGGGUUUAAAGGGUGCGUAGGCGGAUUGAUAAGUUAGAGGUGAAAUGUCCGAGCUUAACUCGGGAACUGCCUCUAAUACUGGUGAGCUAGAGAGUGGAUGCGGUAGGCGGAAUGUAUGGUGUAGCGGUGAAAUGCUUAGAGAUCAUACAGAACACCGAUUGCGAAGGCAGCUUACCAAGCUAUAUCUGACGUUGAGGCACGAAAGCGUGGGGAGCAAACAGGAUUAGAUACCCCAGUAGUC